CCGAGGAGCGCGGAAAGGCUAGAGCUGAAUGGAAACAACAUAACCCGUAUCACCAGAAACGACUUUGCUGGGCUGAAGCAGCUGAGAGUUCUGCAACUGAUGGAAAACCAGAUCAGUGUGGUGGAGCGAGGGGUGUUCGAUGACAUGAAAGAACUGGAGCGACUACGUUUGAAUCGGAACCAGCUGCACAUGUUGCCAGAGCUCCUGUUCCAGAAUAACCAAGCGUUGUCACGGCUG